rnacentral:sRNA from 1 species
UCCCUGCAACGCUUUUAUAGUCGAUACC